UGGCGACCAUAGCGUUGUGGACCCACCUGAUUCCAUGCCGAACUCAGAAGUGAAACGCAAUAGCGCCGAUGGUAGUGUGGGGCUUCCUCAUGUGAGAGUAGGACAUCGCCA
rnacentral:rRNA from 1 species